AGCGAACGCUGGCGGCAGGCCUAACACAUGCAAGUCGAACGGACCCUUCGGGGUUAGUGGCGGACGGGCGAGUAACACGUGGGAACGUGCCUUUAGGUUCGGAAUAGCUCCUGGAAACGGGUGGUAAUGCCGAAUGUGCCCUUCGGGGGAAAGAUUUAUCGCCUUUAGAGCGGCCCGCGUCUGAUUAGCUAGUUGGUGAGGUAACGGCUCACCAAGGCGACGAUCAGUAGCUGGUCUGAGAGGAUGACCAGCCACACUGGGACUGAGACACGGCCCAGACUCCUACGGGAGGCAGCAGUGGGGAAUCUUGCGCAAUGGGCGAAAGCCUGACGCAGCCAUGCCGCGUGAAUGAUGAAGGUCUUAGGAUUGUAAAAUUCUUUCACCGGGGACGAUAAUGACGGUACCCGGAGAAGAAGCCCCGGCUAACUUCGU
rnacentral:rRNA from 1 species